AAGUAAGUCUUGAUAAUGACAUAAUUUGCUUUUAAGUCUUGACCAACUCAUGUGCCAGCAGUCGCGGCAAGACAUGGAAGGCUGCGUUAUUCAUCCUUAUUAUGUUUAAAGGGUACCUAGACGGUAAUUAUCAGCUUUUUUCUUUAAAGAAUUUUGUACUAUAAAUACUAGAGUUUUAUGUAAGGAGAUUCCAAACGGUGAGUGGAGGGAUAUAAUCUUUUGAUACCACUUAGAUACUGGUUUAGGUGAAGACAGGAUCCUAUGUAAAAACUGACGUUGAGGGACAAAGGCUAGAGAUAAAGAACGGGAUUAUUUACCCCAGUACUACUGGCAGACAAUGAUGAAUGCCAUAUGAGAGAGAAAUUUUAUAUAUAAAUGAAAGUGUAAGCAUUCCACCUCCAGAGUAAUAUGGCAACAUAUAAACUGAAAUCAUUAGGCCGUUUCUGGAACUCUUAG
rnacentral:rRNA from 1 species